rnacentral:rRNA from 1 species
UACGUAGGGGGCAAGCGUUGUCCGGAUUUAUUGGGCGUAAAGAGCGUGUAGGCGGCCAGGUAGGUCAGCUGUGAAAACUCGAGGCUCAACCUCGAGACGCCGGUUGAAACCAUCUGGCUAGAGUCCGGAAGAGGAGAGUGGAAUUCCUAGUGUAGAGGUGAAAUUCGUAGAUAUUAGGAAGAACACCAGUGGCGAAGGCGGCUCACUGGUCCGGUACUGACGCUGAGGUGCGAAAGCGUGGGGAGCAAACAGG